AGUGAACGCUGGCGGUAGGCCUAACACAUGCAAGUCGAACGGCAGCACAGAGGAGCUUGCUCCUUGGGUGGCGAGUGGCGGACGGGUGAGGAAUACAUCGGAGUCUACUCUGUCGUGGGGGAUAACGUAGGGAAACUUACGCUAAUACCGCAUACGACCUACGGGUGAAAGCAGGGGAUCUUCGGACCUUGCGCGAUUGAAUGAGCCGAUGUCGGAUUAGCUAGUUGGCGGGGUAAAGGCCCACCAAGGCGACGAUCCGUAGCUGGUCUGAGAGGAUGAUAAGCCACACUGGAACGGAGACACGGUCCAGACUCCUACGGGAGGCAGCAGUGGGGAAUAUUGGACAAUGGGCGCAAGCCUGAUCCAGCCAUACCGCGUGGGUGAAGAAGGCCUUCGGGUUGUAAAGCCCUUUUGUUGGGAAAGAAAUCCAUCUGGUUAAUACCCGGAUGGGAUGACGGUACCCAAAGAAUAAGCACCGGCUAACUUCGUGCCAGCCGCCGCAGUAA
rnacentral:rRNA from 1 species